AAAAGAUAGGGAAAGCCAAAGGGAGGUAAUCCUUGACUCUUCAUUUCAAUUCUUCUCUUUCAUUCACUUUUCCAGGGCACAGUCCUAGCAACCCUUUCAGCUAGAUGUUGACCCAAUUAAAACAAUUCACAAACAACUCUUUUGUUAAAUGGUGCUGAGGAUUGAACCUAGGACAUCAUGUAUUCUCCCACUAGUGCUCCACCACUAAGCUACACCUCUCAACCCUACAAACAACUCUUGAAGAUUAAAUGCUGAGUCCCUACUUUGCACACAUUUCCACAAAAGUAGGAAAAGAUAAAUAUAACUCAAGUAAUUUUUAGGUUGUUUUGAAAUAUGCUAAUGGUAAAAAGUUUUGCAGGGCCCAGACCAAGAAAAAGCUAAUUUUAGCAUGAACUGGUUUAAGAUCUUGUGAUUCCCAUUCUUCCUUUUUUAGUUGUUGAUGGACCUUUAUUUUAUUUAUUUACAUGUGGUGCUGAGAAUUGAAUCUAGUGCCUCAGGUAUGCUAGGCAAGUGCUCUACCACUGAGAUACAGCCCCAGCUGAUUCCCACUCUUUUUUUUUUAAUAUCUCUAUUUUGCAUUUAUGACGUGCUGGUGCCUUGUGCAUGCUAGGCAAGUGCUCUACCACUGAGCUACAACCCCAGCCCCAUGACUCCCAUUCUUUAAUUGAUAGGAGGUAUGGAUAAUACUUUCCUUUGGGAGACCAUGUUAUUCUUUGCCCAUAUGAGCAGUUUCCCUACUUUUUCUUCCCAUUCUGCUUUCCUUCCUUCUGUAACACACAAAUAACAAAACUUCAACUAGUCA
rnacentral:lncRNA from 1 species